UGCCCCGCGCAGCCCCCCCUGACACUGCCAGACCCUGACCCCAGCCGCGCAGCCAGCACUUUCCAAGUUUCGUGCGCCGCGUGUUGCGCCGGGGUGACGGGGUCGGGACGGGGUGGGGGCAGGGGAAGGAGCUCGCCAUCGCCCCCACCUCGCGGCUGCUCCACGCUUCUCCUCCCGGCCCCUCUCAGCAAGCCUCCGCUCCGCUCCAGCUCUUCCCGCAGCUGUUCUGGUGGAUUUCGUUCCCGCCAGCAAGGCCCUGUUCUCUCCGCGGGGUUAAUUAAGUGAAGGUCUCCAUGGAAACGAGAACUCAUAGAGGGCAGGCUGAGAACUAUGGCGUCUACGCUUGGUGAUCGAACACAGAAAGUCCUAGAGUGAACUCCUUCUGCUUUGACAAUUCACUCACUCUCCUUCUCAGACUUCGCCCCUCCGAACUAUCUCUGCCCCAUUACCUAGCACAUGACACCGCUCCAGCAGAGGGCCCUGGUAAGCAUAAAGG